AGGAUAAACGCUGGCGGCGUGCCUAACACAUGCAAGUCGAACGUCCUACGCAAGUAGGGAGUGGCGGACGGGUGAGUAACACGUGGGCAAUCUACCUUUCGGUGAGGAAUACCGGCGAGAAAUCGCCGACAAUACCGCAUACGCUUCGCAAGAAGCAAAGUCGCAAGACGCCGGAGGAGGAGCCUGCGCCCGAUUAGCUCGUUGGUGGAGUAAUGGUCUACCAAGGCGACGAUCGGUAGCUGGUCUGAGAGGAUGAUCAGCCACACUGGGAUUGAGAACGGCCCAGACUCCUACGGGGGGCAGCAGUGAGGAAUUUUCCGCAAUGGGCGCAAGCCUGACGGAGCAAUGCCGCGUGAAGGAAGAAGGCCCGUGGGUUGUAAACUUCUUUUCUUAGAGAAGAAUCCGAGAGGAGGACGGUAUUUGAGGAAUAAGCAUCGGCUAACCCUGUGCCAGCACGCCGC
rnacentral:rRNA from 1 species